rfam:Triticum aestivum genome assembly, contig: Triticum_aestivum_CS42_TGACv1_scaffold_404177_5BL
GUUGUACUCCCUUCGUGCGAAAAUAUUUGUCAUCAAAAUGGAUAAAAAGGGAUGUAUGUAGAACUAAAAUAUGUUUAGAUACAUCUCCUUUUAUCCAUUUUGAUGACAAGUAUCUCCGGACGGAGGGAGUAGCUG